AAUGGCGAAAGUGGUCCGUCAAAUCAAUAUCAUGUCUUAUCCCCUUAAUUCUUUAAUAUUAAUAAAAAAUCUCUUUUCUUAUUGUCUCCCUGAUAUUCCAGUUACAUGUUAUUAUCACUGAAGUAUGAAACCUAGUUAUUAUCUAUGCCACCUAAGUACACCGCAUACAUCACUUUAAUAAUGUCAGCGUAACUGUUCGUAAAUAAGUCCACAUAAUUUAAAAAACGCGUAACCGUCGUGUGCAUUUCAAAUUUUUGCAUGAUCAUGUGAAGAUUAACAUAUAUCGUUGCGUUUAUUGAUGCAAUUAUAGUAAUAUCCUAUGUCAGAUAAUUUUUCACAUUAUGGUUUACGGGAUGCUUUUGGCUGCGUUUUUGUUGGCUCUUUGGGCACCAUGUCUGAAGCAAGGGCUAUGUGCGUCCCCUGGACCGGUUUACGCGAAAGAUCGGAAGAACAGGAUAUUUCGAAUUACGCCGACCGGAUAUUGUUGUGAUAAUGCAUGUAGAUAGUUUCAGUGAUUUGCUCCAUUUAAAUCGGUUUAUAUGUUUUUUUUAAUAAAUGCAUCUUUGAUUUA